AUUGAACGCUGGCGGCAGGCCUAACACAUGCAAGUCGAGCGGUAGCACAGAGAGCUUGCUCUCGGGUGACGAGCGGCGGACGGGUGAGUAAUGUCUGGGAAACUGCCUGAUGGAGGGGGAUAACUACUGGAAACGGUAGCUAAUACCGCAUAACGUCGCAAGACCAAAGUGGGGGACCUUCGGGCCUCAUGCCAUCAGAUGUGCCCAGAUGGGAUUAGCUAGUAGGUGGGGCAACGGCUCACCUAGGCGACGAUCCCUAGCUGGUCUGAGAGGAUGACCAGCCACACUGGAACUGAGACACGGUCCAGACUCCUACGGGAGGCAGCAGUGGGGAAUAUUGCACAAUGAGCGCAAGCCUGAUGCAGCCAUGCCGCGUGUGUGAAGAGGGCCUUCGGGUUGUAAAGCACUUUCAGCGGGGAGGAAGGCGAUAAGGUUAAUAACCUUGUCGAUUGACGUUACCCGCAGAAGAAGCACCGGCUAACUCCGUGCCAGCCGCCGCGGUAAAAC
rnacentral:rRNA from 1 species